GGCUUCUGAAAAGAUGGGACAACACAUUUUUAAAAAUCACAAACCAUAAUCCGGGUUCGUGCUGAACGGUUUUCUUACCGUAUUUUCUCCGUCUUCUGGGCUCGCAGGGAAACCCACGUUGCUAACAAGAGGGUGCCAACGUCCAUUGCGCCGGGCAAUAGAAUGAAUAGCCAGUGAAAGGAAUGGACCCAUACAACGUUUGAUGGAUGGAGGCGGUGUUAACUCAUGAGUACUUUCAACUGGCAGUGCAGUAGCUGUCGCCUAACGGGGAAAUGAAUCAGCAACACUUUACAGUGGUAUAAGAGUCUAGGGGAAAUCACCCGUUUUAACUCACCACAGUUGAUGCUGUGAGAAAUAAUCCCCACAGACAGAGCAAUGUUAGGCCUCUCAUUUUGAACACGGAUUAGCUGCUGAUCGUCCGCUGAUACAGCAGCUUUAUAGUCUCCAUGUCAGUAGGUGGAGCCUGUUCUUGUAUGUUUUGUGUCAGUUUAGUUACUAGAUCCAACUUUUUUUUUUACCUUUACCUGAGAUUUUUUGGAUCUAUUUGUUGACCUUUUGAUUUCAAAUGUAUAUUUAUCUAUUGGUAAAUUGGGUCUAUUUGUUUGUUUUGUUCUAAUAAAGACCUCACAAGUUACUAAACUAAAUGUUUAUUGGAAACUCGCAGACAACACAAAAAAAUUCUUCCUGGGAUCUUUAAAGUAUCACAAUAGAAAUACAUAAUGCAAGACAACUCACUUCUGAAGGGGAAGCUAAAUGUAUUUCUCAUGCGGCAUGACUGAACCCGAAAUAUGUUUUAUAGAAACAAAUCAAAGU
ensembl:lncRNA